GGGUCAGUAGGUUGGUCGUGCCACCGGUACGUACUGGUCUCACUGAUUCCUCCUUCCUGAAGAACCGUAAUGCCAUUAAUUUGGUGUUGCGGGGAAACAGGACUGUUACUUUGAAAAAAUUAGAGUGUUUAAAGCAAGCUAACGCUUGAAUACAUUAGCAUGGAAUAAUGAAAUAGGACGAUCGAUCCGAUCUUGUUGGUUUCUAGGAUUGACGUA
rnacentral:rRNA from 1 species